AUGCUCGCUUCUGCAGCACGUUUGCCAAAAUUAGAACGAUGGAGAUUAGCAUGGCCCCUGCGAAAGGAUGACACACAAAUUCGUGAAGCAUUCCAUACUUUG